rnacentral:tRNA from 1 species
UCCUUUUUAGUUUAUGAAAAACACUGAUUUUGUAAAUCAAAGAAAUACAAAGGAA